GAUGAACGCUGGCGGCGUGCCUAAUACAUGCAAGUCGAGCGAACAGACGAGGAGCUUGCUCCUCUGACGUUAGCCGCGGACGGGUGAGUAACACGUGGAUAACCUACCUAUAAGACUGGGAUCACUUCGGGAAACCGGAGCUAAUACCGGAUAAUAUAUUGAAGCGCAUGGUUCAAUAGUGAAAGACGGUGUUGCUGUCACGUAUAGAUGGAUCCGGGCCGCAUUAGCUAGUUGUUAAGGUAACGGCUUACCAAGGCGACGAUGCGUAGCCGACGUGAGAGAGUGAUAGCCCACAUGGGAAGGGGGACACGGACAAGACGCCUACGGGAGGCAGCAGACGCGAACGGUACGCAGCGGGGGGAAGCAUGACGGAGUGGCGCGGCGUGAGUGGUGGCGGUGCUCGGAGCGUAAAAAUCUGCUACUAGGGAAAAACAACUGUGUACGUAACUAUGCACGGAUUGACGGUAACUGAUAAGAAAGCAACGGCUAACUACGUG
rnacentral:rRNA from 1 species